UUCUUUCAUUUUCCGCUAUAGCCCAGCAGCCCACGACCAAGCCAAACAAAUCCCCAUCGACUCAAUCGACGCAGCUGCUGUUCCAGUGUGCCGCCGCCGCCGCCGCCGCAGUCCUCGAACGCCUCGCCGCCGACCAGCAAAAGUGAGCUACAUAGCCACGUGUCGCUGCAGAACGCUCGCUCGCGCGAACGGCCUCACUCCUGUCUCGGCACCGCUCUGCACGAGCACGCGCACAAUCGCCACGAUAAUGCUACGCUGGAGGAGAUGCAAACCGGCAGGUUCAUUUGCAUCCGCUGGAACCGCCUCAGAUAGGACACAUUAACGACGAACGCAUGUACGAGGAGAAGUUACGAGGUGAAGAUGAUCCUCAACCGGAACACUAGAACACCAGAACGAGUGCGGCAUAGUUGGCAAGUCACAUUUCCAUGCUGAUCCAGUUGCCAUAAAUGAUAAAUAUUUAUUACGUUAGCUAUUUAUUUUCCUGCAUGCUAUUUAAUUAUAGUCCUAAUUUUGAAUGACACACAAGUAGCUAAUGCCUACUACCGAUAAGCCCAAUUGCUUAUGUUGGCCUUCUUUACCUUGAAUAAUAAUUGUCGAUGUUGGGGACAGAGUU